AGUUUACAGCAUUCGCACACAUUUUCUGCAGGAAAUGCAUUUUCUAGUUGAAAUUCAGUUUUCCCGCAAUUUAUACAAGCACAUGCAUUUGUACAGAUACAACACACACAGUCAUAUGCACGCAUACACAUGCAUUUUGAGAGGCUCCAGGUAGGGUGACCAGGUGCCAACAAGCCACAUGUGGGACAAAUAGGAAGUUUUCGCGAGACAUGUCACUGCGUUGCUAAGAGCUAGAUUAGAUGUUUAUAGAAUUUCUAUCUAACCAUUAAGAAUAAACAUUUCUAUGAAACUAUAAGCUUAUAAAUAUUAAUAACAAUGCUUUACUUUGGUUUAAUUGUUUGCACAAACUAUACAAGUGAAGGAAUUAAAUAUAUUUGUUUUGAAUGAAAUUAACAUAACAAAUUAGCCUCGCUGCGGGGGAAACUGUGGCACGCAUAAUUGUGUCGCAUUUGCGCAUAAGAUGCAGCCCCCCACACACUGCGUGUUCUGCCCAUAAGUUAAUACAUUCCUCUGUUGAUUGACAGCUGACACAGCUAAUGAUGAUAGCCCUCUCGUUUUCUACACACCUUUGUAUAAAAGCCUUGUUUAAGACAAGACACAGUCCAAGUCCCUGCAGACUGAACCACUGCCGCCCCUAAACAGCAGAGGCCAGUUAAAAAGGGGGAGGGAUUUUGUCUCCCUCAUAAUGUAGCGCAUGCUAAAUGCUUGCAUAGUGUGUGUGUGUGUGUGUGUGUGUGUGUGUGUGUGUGUGUGUGUGUGUGAGAAUAUGUCUGUGUGUGAGUAUGUGUGCCUGUCCUCACAGAGUUCUCGUCUGUUGUCAGGCUCUAAGGAGGAAUCGGAGGACCAGUCCAAGCUCAUAGUGGGGGGGGUGGCAGGGCUCCUCAUAGCUGCUGCUGUGGUGGGACUUGUCUACUGGAUCUACAUGAAGAACUCCAGACAAGGAAGCUGGAAAACUGGUGAGAAGGAGGUGGGAACAUCAGAGGAGAGCAAGAAGCUGGAGGAGAACCAUCCCACGGUUUGAACUGCAGGGCUGAGAGAAGCAGUUGAAGCAGCUGUUCAACAGUAAGGACCAGACUCUCCCCCCCCCACUGUUCCUGUGUGCACUGAAGCUGCUCAGUUACUGUUCUUUAGUGUUCAUGGUGAAUGCUCCAUGUUCUGCUCAGUUCUUCCUUCAGGAUUUUGAUUGUUUGUUUCUUUUUUAAAUCCCUCAAAGAAUGUAAAAACUCACAUUUUGAAUAUUAUAUAUAUAUAUAUAUCCUUGUCUGAGCAUGCUAAUGUUUUUUCUUAGUUUUUACUUGCGUGUGCGCCGUGUGUAAACUCACUUUACUGCCCUCAGACUUAAGGAAAAGCUCCACAUGUUCUCUGCUCCUCAAACUGUGGCACAUGGGUCGUCUGUCCUUAACAGAACACGUCCUAGUUAAAGUCAGGAUAUUAAAUUGGAUGUACUAUGAAUGCUUCAUCUUUGUAAAGAUUCAAAUUGGACAUAAAACAAUUGAGCGUUAUGACACACUAAUUUCUUCUUUUUGGUGAAUUACAGUACCCCCCCUCCACAUUUUGAAGUCUCAAGAUACAUUUAGAAUUAUGUUCUGUUGCAAAUACUUUGAAAAGGCAAAAGUCCUCACACUUCAUAUUGCUUUAUGUUUUUCCAGUCUUUUGUUUUAAGGUUCAUGCUAAUGGCUUUGUUCCUCUGUGGUUGACUUUAAAACACUUGAUUGUCUCUUCAGCUCCUUAACACUGUUUCUCUUCUCUUUGCUUUGUGCCAGGUCAGAAUCUGUUUGUGUAUUUUUGUAUUUAUAUUCUGUGUGCAACCUUUCCUGGUUACUGCAGCUUCAAGUAAAACAUGUUAAGCCUGCGUGAAGGCCUCAUCAAGUGUUGAAGCGGUACUGAAUAUGGUUAUACAGCAUCUGUGCUCAUUCUCUGCUGUGUCAUUAUUACUGUUGAUAAUAUUGCUGUGUCAUGUUUAUCUCUGUGGUGUGAGAGACAACUGAAGACUGUGGUGGAGAUUGUCAGACUAGAUGAGGUAGUAUUCUGGGUUUACAUCAUUCUGCUAUGGUACAUCCCACAAUGCAACACCCAGUGUCCUGCCAGGGACAAAGGGUUGAUAACAGAAAUGUUAAACUUUGUUGACACUUAUAGUUCAGUUCUUAGUUGCUUAGCUAAUGAAUACAUAAACAUAUGUGUGAUUUAAAUUGGUCUGACAAAAGAAGCCUUAACUUUUUCAUUUGUUCAUAUUUCUCGUGUGAGUGGAUUAAUAAUAUGUUUGACUCGACAUAUUGAACAGUGUUUUUAGACUGCAUUUUCAGCACCUGGCAAGAAAGUACCGGUAUUUCAAAGGACCAGGGUCCAGGAUGAGGGACAUCUAGUGAUCAGGGUGCAGAUCGCAGCUGAAUCCCCUUUCACCCCCCCUCCCUUGGUAAACAAGACAUGUGAAGUUUGUUUUUUCGUUCAGGGCUUCUGUAGAAACGUGCGCUAUAACAUGGUGGAUUCUGUGGAAGAGGACCCGAUAAGUGGGGCUCAUUCUAACAACCAGGCUUAUUGUACACCAAUAAAAGCCAAGGUAUGAAAAUGCUUCUCCAUACAUCAGACACACAGUUCUGAAGAGCUGAUUGCCUGAUCAUUAAACCCUUGAUGUUGGAAGGAACCAUGCUCCGAUCGAUUUGAUUGAAAUGUCUCGUUGCCAGUUUUACAAUCUGAAGCAAAGAGAUGACAUUCCAUUCUCUUUUUAACAGUAUGUCAACAUUACCAAUUUCCCCACACCUUCAAAAUGGGCAGCGUAAAGAUGCCUGGCAAAAUGAAAGCAGAAGUAGUAGUACCACCUCUAUUUUCAUGCUUUUUUAUGCUUUUCAAAUAAUCAGGUCAGCAGUGAAACCAAAGAUGGGACGAUCAGGAGGCCAUAGUAGAGUUGUAAAUACACACUUUGUUUUUGUACUGUUGUUGACAAUAAAGUGUACAUUU